rnacentral:rRNA from 1 species
CCUACGGGUGGCAGCAGUGGGGAAUAUUGCACAAUGGGGGGAACCCUGAUGCAGCGACGCCGCGUGGGUGAGGAAGUACUUCGGUAUGUAAAGCCCUAUCAGCAGGGAAGCAAAUGACGGUACCUGACUAAGAAGCCCCGGCUAACUACGUGCCAGCAGCCGCGGUAAUACGUCGGGGGCAAGCGUUAUCCGGAUUUACUGGGUGUAAAGGGAGCGUAGACGGCGUGCCAAGUCUGGUGUGAAAGGCCGGGGCUCAACCCCGGGACUGCAUUGGAAACUGGCAUGCUGGAGUGCCGGAGGGGCAAGCGGAAUUGCGAGGGGAGCGGGGAAAAGCGUAGGUAGUAGCAGGAACAUCGGUGGCGGAGGCGGCUUGCUGGACGGUAACUGACGGUGAGGCUCGAAAGCGUGGGGAGCAAACAGGAAUAGAUACCCGGGUAGUC